GGGAUCUUCACCUCCAACAGCAAAUGGUUCCGGGCUUGGCAUGCCAAUGUAUUGGCAAGGUUUUUAUCCACCUUCUGGUGGUAUGCCCGGUGGAUUACCUGGUGGUAUGCCUGGUGGAUUACCUGGUGGUAUGCCCGGUGGAUUACCUGGUGGUAUGCCUGGCGGAUUGCCCGGUGGGAUUUCUCAUUUGCAGCCACCACCCCUUUUACGCCCACCACCUGGUCUGUCAAUGCCAUAUUCCAUGCAGCAGCCUUUUCAAUAUCCUGGAAUUAAUGCUUCUUUGCCUUCUGUACCUCAGAAUAUAUCUGGAUCAAAU
rnacentral:lncRNA from 1 species